rnacentral:tRNA from 1 species
GCGGGCAUCGUAUAAUGGCUAUUACCUCAGCCUUCCAAGCUGAUGAUGCGGGUUCGAUUCCCGCUGCCCACUCCA